AGGUUGGUACUUUAACUAGAAGAUUUGGUUUGCAACUAAAAAGAAGAGAGAUAAGUCUCUGCAAUCUA
rnacentral:tRNA from 1 species